UAGUCCACGCCGUAAACGAUCAUCACUCGUUAUUAGCGAUACACAGUUAGUAACCAAGCGAAAGCAUUAAGUGAUGCACCUGGGGAGUACGUUCGCAAGAAUGAAACUCAAAGGAAUUGACGGGGGCCCGCACAAGCGGUGGAGCAUGUGGUUUAAUUCGAUGAUACGCGAGGAACCUUACCAGGGCUUAAAUGUAAGUUGCAUGAUCUAGAGAUAGGUCUUUCUUCGGACCACUUACAAGGUGCUGCAUGGUUGUCGUCAGCUCGUGCCGUGAGGUGUCAGGUUAAGUCCUAUAACGAGCGCAACCCCUGUUGUUAGUUGCCAGCAUGUAAAGAUGGGAACUCUAACAAGACUGCCGGUGCAAACCGCGAGGAAGGUGGGGAUGACGUCAAAUCAUCACGGCCCUUACGUCCUGGGCUACACACGUGCUACAAUGGUAGGGACAGAGAGCAGCCACACUGCGAGGUGGAGCGAAUCUAUAAACCCUAUCUCAGUUCGG
rnacentral:rRNA from 1 species